AUUCAGGUAUCUUAUUUUUAAAGUUUAAUAUUGAAGAUAUUAAGAAGAAUUGUAAAUUCUCUGGAUA
rnacentral:tRNA from 1 species